rnacentral:rRNA from 1 species
GACGAACGCUGGCGGCGUACCUAAUACAUGCAAGUCGAGCGGACUUUCAAGAAGCUUGCUUUUUGAAAGUUAGCGGCGGACGGGUGAGUAACACGUGGGCAACCUGCCUGUAAGACGGGGAUAACUCCGGGAAACCGGGGCUACUACCGGAUAAUAUCUUUCUUCGCAUGAAGGAAGGUUGAAAGGCGGCGCAAGCUGCCGCUUGCAGAUGGGCCCGCGGCGCAUUAGCUAGUUGGUGAGGUAACGGCGCACAAAGGCGACGAUGCGUAGCCGACCUGAGAGGGUGAUCGGCCACACUGGGACUGAGACACGGCCCAGACUCCUACGGGAGGCAGCAGUAGGGAAUCUUCCGCAAUGGACGAAAGUCUGACGGAGCAACGCCGCGUGAGCGAAGAAGGUCUUCGGAUCGUAAAGCUCUGUUGUCAGGGAAGAACAAGUACCGUUCGAAUAGGGCGGUACCUUGACGGUACCUGACCAGAAAGCCACGGCUAACUACGUGCCAGCCGCCGCCGUAA